rnacentral:rRNA from 1 species
UGUGUUAGUGGAAGCGUCUGGAAAGGCGCGCGAUACAGGGUGACAGCCCCGUACACAAAAAUGCACAUGCUGUGAGCUCGAUGAGUAGGGCGGGACACGUGGUAUCCUGUCUGAAUAUGGGGGGACCAUCCUCCAAGGCUAAAUACUCCUGACUGACCGAUAGUGAACCAGUACCGUGAGGGAAAGGCGAAAAGAACCCCGGCGAGGGGAGUGAAAAAGAACCUGAAACCGUGUACGUACAAGCAGUGGGAGCACGCUUCGGCGUGUGACUGCGUACCUUUUGUAUAAUGGGUCAGCGACUUAUAUUCUGUAGCAAGGUUAACCGAAUAGGGGAGCCGAAGGGAAACCGAGUCUUAACUGGGCGUUAAGUUGCAGGGUAUAGACCCGAAACCCGGUGAUCUAGCCAUGGGCAGGUUGAAGGUUGGGUAACACUAACUGGAGGACCGAACCGACUAAUGUUGAAAAAUUAGCGGAUGACUUGUGGCUGGGGGUGAAAGGCCAAUCAAACCGGGAGAUAGCUGGUUCUCCCCGAAAGCUAUUUAGGUAGCGCCUCGUGAAUUCAUCUCCGGGGGUAGAGCACUGUUUCGGCAAGGGGGUCAUCCCGACUUACCAACCCGAUGCAAACUGCGAAUACCGGAGAAUGUUAUCACGGGAGACACACGGCGGGUGCUAACGUCCGUCGUGAAGAGGGAAACAACCCAGACCGCCAGCUAAGGUCCCAAAGUCAUGGUUAAGUGGGAAACGAUGUGGGAAGGCCCAGACAGCCAGGAUGUUGGCUUAGAAGCAGCCAUCAUUUAAAGAAAGCGUAAUAGCUCACUGGUCGAGUCGGCCUGCGCGGAAGAUGUAACGGGGCUAAACCAUGCACCGAAGCUGCGGCAGCGACGCUGAUG